rnacentral:rRNA from 1 species
AUUGAACGCUGGCGGCAUGCUUUACACAUGCAAGUCGAACGGCAGCACGGGAGCUUGCUCCUGGUGGCGAGUGGCGAACGGGUGAGUAAUGCAUCGGAACGUACCCAGUAGUGGGGGAUAGCCCGGCGAAAGCCGGAUUAAUACCGCAUACGACCUAUGGGUGAAAGCGGGGGAUCGCAAGACCUCGCGCUAUUGGAGCGGCCGAUGUCAGAUUAGGUAGUUGGUGAGGUAAAGGCUCACCAAGCCUUCGAUCUGUAGCUGGUCUGAGAGGACGACCAGCCACACUGGGACUGAGACACGGCCCAGACUCCUACGGGAGGCAGCAGUGGGGAAUUUUGGACAAUGGGCGCAAGCCUGAUCCAGCCAUGCCGCGUGCGGGAAGAAGGCC